CAAAGUGUAGCUUAACUAAAGCAUCUGGCUUACACCCAGAAGAUUUCAUAUAUGUUGGCCGCUUUGAACCAAUA
rnacentral:tRNA from 1 species